rnacentral:tRNA from 1 species
AGUAGAGUAGCGCACUGGCCGACGCACCGUUUUCAUCAAACGGGGAAUGCUGGUUCGAUUCCAGCCUCUACAUUCA